GCCAGCCCGCUCAGAAACUCAAAGGAAGUUGACGGGGCCCGCACAAGCGGUGGAGCAUGUGGUUUAAUUCGAUGAUACGCGAGGAACCUUACCUGGGCUCAAAUGUAUGUUGACGUAUUCUGAAAGGGAUACUUCUUCGGACAAUAUACAAGGUGCUGCAUGGUUGUCGUCAGCUCGUGCCGUGAGGUGUCGGGUUAAGUCCCAUAACGAGCGCAACCCCUACCUUUAGUUGCCAUCAGGUUAAGCUGGGGACUCUAAAGGAACUGCCUACGCAAGUAGUGAGGAAGGCGGGGAUGACGUCAAAUCAGCACGGCCCUUACGUCCAGGGCUACACACGUGCUACAAUGGCCGAUACAGAGGGCAGCUACCUGGUGACAGGAUGCAAAUCUCCAAAGUCGGUCUCAGUUCGGAUCGGAGUCUGCAACCCGACUCCGUGAAGUUGGAUUCGCUAGUAAUCGCGCAUCAGCCAUGGCGCGGUGAAUACGUUCCCGGGCCUU
rnacentral:rRNA from 1 species